rnacentral:rRNA from 1 species
CCUACGGGAGGCAGCAGUGGGGAAUAUUGCACAAUAGAGGGAACUCUGAUGCAGCGACGCCGCGUGAGUGAAGAAGUAAUUCGUUAUGUAAAGCUCUAUUAGUAGGGAAGAAAGUGACGGUACCUGAAAAAGAAGCUCCGGCUAAAUACGUGCCAGCAGCCGCGGUAACACGGAAGGAGCAAGCGUUAUCCGGAUUUACCGGGCGUAAAGGGAGAGUAGGUGGCAGAGCAAGUCCGAAGUUAAAACCCAAAGCUCAACUAUGGGAAUGCUUUAGAAACUGCUCAGCUAGAGUGCAGGAGAGGCAAGUGGAAUUCUUGGUGUAGCGGUGAAAUGCGUAGAUAUUAGGAGGAACACCAGUGGCGAAGGCAGCUUGCUGGACUGUAACUGACGUUGAGGCACGAAAGCGUGGGGAGCAAACAGGAUUAGAUACCCCAGUAGUC